UGGGGAAUAUUGCACAAUGGGGGAAACCCUGAUGCAGCGACGCCGCGUGAGCGAUGAAGGCUUUCGAGUCGUAAAGCUCUGUCCUAUGGGAAGAUAAUGACGGUACCAUAGAAGAAAGCCCCGGCUAAUUACGUGCCAGCAGCCGCGGUAAUACGUAGGUGGCAAGCGUUGUCCGGAAUUAUUGGGCGUAAAGCGCGCGCAGGUGGUUUAGAAAGUCUGAUGUGAAAGCCCACGGCUCAACCGUGGAGGGUCAUUGGAAGCUAAUAAACUUGAGUGCAGGAGAGGAAAGUGGAAUUCCUGGUGUAGCGGUGAAAUGCGUAGAGAUUAGGAGGAACACCGGUGGCGAGAGCGGCUUUUUGGCCUGCAACUGACACUGAGGCGCGAAAGCGUGGGGAGCAAACAGG
rnacentral:rRNA from 1 species